AGCCCCCCGCCACGUACUAACGAAUAUGGGGGGUUCAGCCUGCCCAAUGACACUGAUGUUAAAUGGCCGCAGUAUCCUGACUGUGCUAAGGUAGCAUAAUCAUUUGGCCGUUCAUUGCGGUCUGGAAUGAAGGGCUACACGGGGUUUGACUGUCUCCAAUUGACAUAAUUGAAUUUUAUUUAUUCGUGAAGAAGCGGAUAUAGAUGGGGUAGACGAGAAGACCCCGUAGAGCUUUAUCUGGUUUGAGCUAGUUAAUAUAAUCAAAAAGAUUUAGUUGGGGCGACUAGGGAACCGUUAAAGCUUCCUUGCUGAAAGUGUAGAAGUAAAAGGAUCCUUUCAAAAAGAAAAAUGUUAAGCUACCUCGGGGAUAACAGCAUAAUGUUCUCAGAGAGACCUUAUUGAUGAGAGAGCUUAUGACCUCGAUGUUGGACUAGGGGCACUCUUUGGUGCAGCAGUUAAAGAAAGUUAGUCUGUUCGACUAUUAAACCCCUAC
rnacentral:rRNA from 1 species